AUUGCCUGCCCAGUGACUAUAGUUAAACGGCCGCGGUAUCCUGACCGUGCAAAGGUAGCAUAAUCAUUUGUUCCUUAAUUAGGGACUAGUAUGAAUGGCUAAACGAGGGYUSAACUGUCUCUUAUUUUUGAUCAGUGAAAUUGACCUUCCAGUGAAGAGGCUGGAAUCCAAUAAUAAGACGAGAAGACCCUAUGGAGCUUAAAUUAACAAGCUUAAUUACUUAUUUACAUCCCUAAUGGCAUAACAAAAAAAUAUAAGCUUAAAAUUUUGGUUGGGGUGACCUCGGAGAAUAAAAAAUCCUCCGACGAUAUCUAACUUAGACCNACAAGUCAAAGUAGGCUACUAUCCAAUUGACCCAAAAAUUGAUCAACGGACCAAGUUACCCUAGGGAUAACAGCGCAAUCCUAUUUAAGAGUUCAUNUCGACAAUAGGGUUUACGABCUCGAUGUUGGAUCAGGAYNUCCCAAUGGUNCAGAAG
rnacentral:rRNA from 1 species